rnacentral:rRNA from 1 species
AAUAUUGCGCAAUGGAGGGAACUCUGACGCAGCGACGCCGCGUGAGCGAUUAAGGUCUUCGGAUCGUAAAGCACUGUCCUUGGGGAAGAAGAUGUUCGGACUUGACGGCACCCAAAGAGGAAGCACCGGCCAACUACGUGCCAGCAGCCGCGGUAAUCCGUAGGGGGCAAGCGUUUUCCGGAAUUACUGGGCGUAACGGGUGCGUAGCCGGCCUUUUAAGUCAGAGGUGAAAGGCCACGGCUUAACCGUGGGGUUGCAUUUGAAACUGGAGGGCUUGAGUAUCGGAGAGGGUAGUGAAAUUCCCAGUGUAGCGGUGGAAUGCGUAGAUAUUGGGAGGAACACCAGUGGCGAAGGCGACUACCUGGACGAAAACUGACGCUGAUGCACGAAAGCUAGGGGAGCAAACA